CGGCUGAGGAGAAAGUCGGGGAGGAAAGUCAAGAGUGUUUUCAGAGUUAGUUAAGUACAACGUAAACCCCAGCCUGCAGAUUUACAGAAAGAAGAAGUGAUAGAAAGAAAGAUCUUCCAUCUGCUGGUUCACUCCCCAAGUGGCUGCAAUAGCCGGAGCUGAGCUGAUCUGAAGCCAGGAGCCAGGUUUCCCAGAAUGAAGAAAUGAAGAAGCCAGGACAUGAACCAGCACCCAUAUGAGAUCCUGGCCCAUGCAAGCUUUCCAAUCUUGAAAUUGGACUCAAGAGUUUCUACUGUCAAGGUCAUGGCUAAGGAAUAAAUGUGACAACAUGCGAUAGAAGACAUGAUAUAUUCCUGUCAAGUAGCUGAAGUGGCCCAUCUUUCCUGAUCUGAGAAUUUCAAGUAACUCG